GGCAGCAGCUAAGAAUAUUCCGCAAUGGGCGAAAGCCUGACGGAGCGACGCCGCGUGGACGAUGAAGGCCGGAAGGUUGCAGAGUCCUUUGGCGCGCGAGGAAGGAGGGGAGGAAUGGAAAGCCUCCCCGGUGACUGUAGCGCGAGAACAAGCACCGGCUAAUUACGUGCCAGCAGCCGCGGUAACACGUAAGGUGCGAGCGUUGUUUGGAAUCAUUGGGCGUAAAGGGCAUGUAGGCGGCAUGGUAAGUCGGGCGUGAAAUGACGGGGCCCAACCCCGUCGCUGCGCCCGAUACUGCCGUGCUUGAGUCAGCGAGGCGGAGGCGGAAUUCCUGGUGUAGGGGUGAAAUCUGUAGAUAUCAGGAAGAACACCGGUGGCGAAGGCAGCCUCCGAGCGCAUGACUGACGCUGAGGUGCGAAGGUGCGGGGAGCGAACAGGAUUAGAUACCCUGGUAGUCCGCACAGUAAACGAUGCGCACUUGGUGUCCGCUCAAGAGAGUGGGUGCCGAAGCAAACGCGAUAAGUGCGCCGCCUGGGGAGUAUGCCCGCAAGGGUGAAACUCAAAGGAAUUGACGG
rnacentral:rRNA from 1 species